GACGAACGCUGGCGGCGUGCUUAACACAUGCAAGUCGAGCGGUAAGGCCCUUUCGGGGGUACACGAGCGGCGAACGGGUGAGUAACACGUGGGUGACCUGCCCUCAGCUCUGGGAUAAGCCUGGGAAACCGGGUCUAAUACUGGAUAUGACUCCAUGACGCAUGUUGUGGGGUGGAAAGCCUUGUGCGGCUGAGGAUGGGCCCGCGGCCUAUCAGCUUGUUGGUGGGGUGANGGCCUACCAAGGCGACGACGGGUAGCCGGCCUGAGAGGGCGACCGGCCACACGUGGGACUGAGACACGGCCCAGACUCCGUACGGGAGGCAGCAGUGGGGAAUCUUGCGCAAGUCGGGACGAAAGCCUGACGCAGCGACGCCGCGU
rnacentral:rRNA from 1 species